rnacentral:tRNA from 1 species
UCCCGUGUGGCUCAGUUGGUAGAGCAUGGUGUUUGCAAUGCCAGGGUUGUGGGUUUGAUUCCCACGGGGGAU